rnacentral:miRNA from 1 species
UUAAAUGCUUUGCAUGUCGGGG